rnacentral:lncRNA from 1 species
CCGUACCUCUAUAAAUAGUUUUUUUUCCCUUUUUUGGUGGGGGACUGGGUGAAAGAGCCAUCAAUGCACAUGCCCUAAGACCAUGUGCAGCGGUGUAUCGUCCCAGAAAAAAAUUUUAGUUUUUUUUUUUAAUUUUUAGAUUCAAAAAAAGGCAACCAAUCGCAGGCUGCCACGUGUCAUUGGACCCGCGAAUAGUGAAAAAACAAGGCAAAAGACGUCCUCCAUUAAGAACUCCCUUUAAAAUUUAUUCUUCUUUGUCUUCUUGAUCAAUUCUUGGUCCAUUGCUCGCCUUGUC